AGAGUUUGAUCAUGGCUCAGAUUGAACGCUGGCGGCGUGCCUAACACAUGCAAGUCGAGCGGUAACAGGUGUAGCAAUACAUGCUGACGAGCGGCGAACGGGUGAGUAAUGCUUUGGAAUCUUCCCAGUAGUGGGGAAUAACCAGUCGAAAGAUUGGCUAAUACCGCAUACGUCUGUAAAGGGAAAGCGGGGGCUCGUAAGACCUCGCGCUAUUGGAUGAGCCAAAGUCGGAUUAGCUAGUUGGUGGGGUAAUGGCCUACCAAGGCGACAAUCCGUAGCUGGUCUGAGAGGACGACCAGCCACACCGGAACUGAGACACGGUCCGGACUCCUACGGGAGGCAGCAGUGGGGAAUAUUGGACAAUGGGGGAAACCCUGAUCCAGCGACGCCGCGUGUGUGAAGAAGGCCUGCGGGUUGUAAAGCACUUUUAGUGGGGACAAAAAGCUACGGAUUAAUACUCUGUGGUCUUGAUUUAACCCAAAGAAAAAGCACCGGCUAACUCUGUGCCAGCAGCCGCGGUAAUACAGAGGGUGCGAGCGUUAAUCGGAAUUACUGGGCGUAAAGCGCGCGUAGACGGUUUUGUAAGUCAGAUGUGAAAUCCCUGGGCUCAACCUGGGAACUGCAUUUGAUACUGCAUGGCUAGAGUAUCGAAGAGGGAAGUGGAAUUUCCGGUGUAGCGGUGAAAUGCGUAGAUAUCGGAAGGAACACCAGUGGCGAAAGCGACUUCCUGGUCGAAUACUGACGUUCAUGUGCGAAAGCGUGGGGAGCAAACAGGAUUAGAUACCCUAGUAGUCC
rnacentral:rRNA from 1 species